rnacentral:rRNA from 1 species
UUUUGGACAAUGGGCGCAAGCCUGAUCCAGCCAUGCCGCGUGUGUGAAGAAGGCCUUCGGGUUGUAAAGCACUUUCGGACGGAACGAAAUCGCGCGGACGAACAUUCCGCGUGGAUGACGGUACCGUAAGAAGAAGCACCGGCUAACUACGUGCCAGCAGCCGCGGUAAUACGUAGGGUGCGAGCGUUAAUCGGAAUUACUGGGCGUAAAGGGUGCGCAGGCGGCCCCGCAAGUCAGACGUGAAAUCCCCGAGCUCAACUUGGGAAUGGCGUUUGAAACUACGGGGCUGGAGUGUGGCAGAGGGAGGUGGAAUUCCACGUGUAGCGGUGAAAUGCGUAGAGAUGUGGAGGAACACCAAUGGCGAAGGCAGCCUCCUGGGCCAACACUGACGCUCAUGCACGAAAGCGUGGGGAGCAAACAGG